rnacentral:tRNA from 1 species
AGAGGUGUGGCUCAGUGGUGAAGCAUUUGCCAGCAUUCUGGAGGCCCUGGGUUCAAUUCCCAGCACCACAA